AGAGUUUGAUCCUGGCUCAGGAUGAACGCUGGCGGCGUGCUUAACACAUGCAAGUCGAGCGAAGCACUUUGGAAAGAUUCUUCGGAUGAUUUCCUUUGUGACUGAGCGGCGGACGGGUGAGUAACGCGUGGGUAACCUGCCUCAUACAGGGGGAUAACAGUUAGAAAUGACUGCUAAUACCGCAUAAGACCACGGUACCGCAUGGUACAGUGGUAAAAACUCUGGUGGUAUGAGAUGGACCCGCGUCUGAUUAGGUAGUUGGUGGGGUAACGGCCUACCAAGCCGACGAUCAGUAGCCGACCUGAGAGGGUGACCGGCCACAUUGGGACUGAGACACGGCCCAGACUCCUACGGGAGGCAGCAGUGGGGAAUAUUGCACAAUGGAGGAAACUCUGAUGCAGCGACGCCGCGUGAAGGAUGAAGUAUUUCGGUAUGUAAACUUCUAUCAGCAGGGAAGAAAAUGACGGUACCUGACUAAGAAGCCCCGGCUAACUACGUGCCAGCAGCCGCGGUAAUACGUAGGGGGCAAGCGUUAUCCGGAUUUACUGGGUGUAAAGGGAGCGUAGACGGCACGGCAAGCCAGAUGUGAAAGCCCGGGGCUCAACCCCGGGACUGCAUUUGGAACUGCUGAGCUAGAGUGUCGGAGAGGAGAGUGGAAUUCCUAGUGUAGCGGUGAAAUGCGUAGAUAUUAGGAGGAACACCAGUUGCGAAGGCGGCUCUCUGGACUGUAACUGACACUGAGGCGCGAAAGUGUGGGGAGCAAACAGGAUUAGAUACCCUGGUAGUCCACACUGUAAACGAUGAAUGCUA
rnacentral:rRNA from 1 species